rnacentral:rRNA from 1 species
UACGAAGGGAGCUAGCGUUGUUCGGAAUUACUGGGCGUAAAGGGCGCGUAGGCGGCUAUGUAAGUCAGAUGUGAAAUCCCCGGGCUUAACCUGGGAACUGCAUUUGAUACUGCAAAGCUAGAGGAUGAGAGAGGAAAGUGGAAUUACGAGUGUAGAGGUGAAAUUCGUAGAUAUUCGUAAGAACAUCAGUGGCGAAGGCGGCUUUCUGGCUCAUAUCUGACGCUAAGGCGCGAAAGCGUGGGGAGCAAAC